rnacentral:rRNA from 1 species
AAGGGGGGGGCUACCUGCAGUCGACGGUCUCUUCGGAGAUAGUGGCGGACGGGUGAGUAACGCGUGAGGAUCUGGCUUUAGGAGGGGGACAACAGCUGGAAACGGCUGCUAAUACCGCAUAUGCCGAGAGGUGAAAGGAGAAAUCCCCCUGAAGAUGAACUCCCGUCAGAUUAGCUAGUUGGUGAGGUAAGGGCUCACCAAGGCGACCAUCUGUAGCUGGUCUAAAAGGAUGAUCAGCCACACUGGGACUGAAACACGGCCCAAACUCCUACGGGAGGCAGCAGUGGGGAAUUUUCCGCAAUGGGCGAAAGCCUGACGGAACAACCCCCCGUGCGGGAGGAAGGCCUUAGGGUUGUAAACCGCUUUUCUCAGGGAAGAAGUACUGACGGUACCUGAGGAAUAAGCCUCGGCUAACUCCGUGCCAGCAGCCGCGGUAAGACGGAGGAGGCAAGCGUUAUCCGGAAUUAUUGGGCGUAAAGCGUCCGCAGGCGGCUAGUUAAGUCUGCUGUCAAAGCCCGCAGCUCAACUGCGGAUCGGCAGUGGAAACUGAUUAACUAGAGAGCGGUAGGGGUAGAGGGAAUUCCCGGUGUAACGGUGAAAUGCGUAAAUAUCGGGAAGAACACCAGUGGCGAAGGCGCUCUACUGGGCCGUGACUGACGCUGAGGGACGAAAGCUAGGGGAGCGAAAGGGAUUAGAUACCCCUGUAGUCCUAGCUGUAAACGAUGGACACUAGGUGUUGGCCGUAUCGACCCGGUCAGUACCGAAGCUAACGCGUUAAGUGUCCCGCCUGGGGAGUACGCACGCAAGUGUGAAACUCAAAGGAAUUGACGGGGGCCCGCACAAGCGGU